CCUCUGUUUGACCGACACCCCGACCCCACGUCCUUCUUCCACCUCUGCUCGAUCUCCCUGUCUCGUACGACAGAGCCCAUCGCCGCCGAAUCAGGCUCCUCGUGAUCUGCGCGAUCCGAACCCCUCUCUCCAACCCAUGGACACCGAGAGAUACCUCUCGCUCCCCUCGUGCGAUUCCCGUGCAAAUCCCUCAAGGUAGAACUCGAUUACGAGCGAACGGAGCACCCCAUCUUCGCUACCCGAGCUCCCUUUUCCGGUCGAUGUCGUCGUCAAUCCUCUGAUGCGAGCCCCAGCCACACUGAUCUCGCCGGAGUUCCGCUCCUGAAGCUUCUGCUCGUCAUGACAGCUUGAGGAAGCGCACGCCUCCACCGAGCACUCCACUGUCUCUGCCGCAUCAAGCCUAACCCUCCGGACCUCUUUGCCGCCCGGAGGAGCGCAGGAGAAGUCACCAGGACCGAUCCCGAAGCCGCUGCCGUCUUCCUCUGUUUCUGGUGAGCGCGCGCGCACAGAACGGCCAAUCCCGUGAUGACAUGUGGCAUGCUACAAUUGUUCGGAGCGUGACGAGUAGAAUCAUCAGGAAUUGUGAGUGCGAAGAACUUCAUCAAACGUACCAGGCAAGUUACACCUUGAUCAUCCUUCAUCCUACUUUUUUCAUGCAUGUAGUUAUAUAUCACAAUACCAUAUUAUGCAUGUGUAGGAAGAUCAUGGUAGUAUGUUAUUGCUACCGAGUUUCAGCUUAGUAUGGCCUUAUUUGUAGACCGUGGUAGUGUAUUCUUGCUAUGCUAUGUAGACGGGGAUUGGUUCGUGUGUUCAUUGAGCUUAUGGAGGAUUAUAUAUAUAACUAAAUUGAGUAGUAAUUAAGGACUUAAUUCACCUCUGGGCGGAAGUGGUAUUGCUUGGUGUUGAGGGAAGGCAUCAUGGGGUCUUGCACCUUUUCUAAGGCCAUGCGCCCAUGAGAGUGCACCCUAAGUGGAAUGCCACCCAGGUUCAAAAAGAUCAGAUAGACUUAGUGACUAGUAGCUUCCAUGUGCGGCCACUAGCUAUAUGGGCUAUGUCUUAGUUGAUCAGUUGUUGGAACCCUUGCCCAGGCAGUGUCGACAGAUGUAGCAUAUAUAUAGGUAGGAUGUGGCCGUCAGGUGGUUAAGGGAACCUCUUCUGAAAGACUUAGUCUCAAUCUUCGGAUUGGGUCCAGUGGGUAAAGCGUACUAUACUCUACACAGUAUUAAAACUAAUCAUGAUUAGUCGUGCCCCUGGUUAUGAGCAAAUUUGAGCCACUAUGCCAUUACAUUUGUUGGAUGAUCUUGACAGAUGAUACCUUAAUAAAAUUUGUGUGGGAAAUUUAAUAAUGGGAAUAGGUUGGUAUUGGAUUGCCUAAUUCAACCAUAUGUAUUCAAUUGCACCAAGACAUAAAUAAAAUUUGACUAUUUUAUUAUGUAGUUAUCAGGGAAAAACUAGCUUUCUGCAAAAAAAACCACUACACAAUCCUCUUGAUAUACCUUGCAUAUAGUUGUAGGUCUGUUAUAUCAUUUCCUAUGUGACUUGCCAAUACAUUCAAAGUAUUGACCCUUCGUGGCUGCAACGUUUCAUGCUGUAGAUUUUAUACGACGAGUGAGUGAUACGAUGACUAUACUCGACAUUUGCCUGUGGUGUUGAUGGUUUCCCUGAAGAUUUUAUUUGAUUUUCUGCUGUAUUUUUGUUAUGAGCUAGCCUUGAGCUACGCAGUUAUGUAAUAUUUUAGUUCUGGAUCUAUGAUGUAAUAUUAUGACAUGUGGUUUAUUCUUGAUAUUACAUCUUGUACCGUGUGUGCUAGCUAUCGAUCCAGG